GAUGAACGCUGGCGGCGUGCCUAAUACAUGCAAGUCGAGCGAACAGACGAGGAGCUUGCUCCUCUGACGUUAGCGGCGGACGGGUGAGUAACACGUGGAUAACCUACCUAUAAGACUGGGAUAACUUCGGGAAACCGGAGCUAAUACCGGAUAAUAUAUUGAACCGCAUGGUUCAAUAGUGAAAGACGGUUUUGCUGUCACUUAUAGAUGGAUCCGCGCCGCAUUAGCUAGUUGGUAAGGUAACGGCUUACCAAGGCAACGAUGCGUAGCCGACCUGAGAGGGUAAUCGGCCACACUGGAACUGAGACACGGUCCAGACUCCUACGGGAGGCAGCAGUAGGGAAUCUUCCGCAAUGGGCGAAAGCUUGACGGAGCAACGCCGCGUGAGUGAUGAAGGUCUUCGGAUCGUAAAGCUCUGUUAUUAGGGAAGAACAAAUGUGUAAGUAACUAUGCACGUCUUGACGGUACCUAAUCAGAAAGCCACGGCUAACUACGUG
rnacentral:rRNA from 1 species